rfam:Schistosoma haematobium scaffold1082_11, whole genome shotgun sequence.
AUCCCACUGACGAGUCACAAAUAAGACGAAACGCGCAUCCUGGAU